CCCAUAGCCGGACUGAGAGGUUGAACGGCCACAUUGGGACUGAGACACGGCCCAGACUCCUACGGAAGGCAGCAG
rnacentral:rRNA from 1 species